rnacentral:rRNA from 1 species
CAUGUCUAAGUAUAAGCAAUUAUACAGCGAAACUGCGAAUGGCUCAUUAUAUAAGUUAUCGUUUAUUUGAUAGUACCUUACUACUUGGAUAACCGUGGUAAUUCUAGAGCUAAUACAUGCUAAAAAUCCCGACUUCGGAAGGGAUGUAUUUAUUAGAUUAAAAACCAAUGCCCUCUGGGCUCCUUGGUGAUUCAUAAUAACUUUUCGAAUCGCAUGGCCUUGCGCCGGCGAUGGUUCAUUCAAAUUUCUUCCCCAUCAACUUUCGAUGUUUGGGUAUUGGCCAAACAUGGUCGCAACGGGUAACGGAGGGUUAGGGCUCGACCCCGGAGAAGGAGCCUGAGAAACGGCUACUACAUCCAAGGAAGGCAGCAGGCGCGCAAAUUACCCAAUCCCGAUUCGGGGAGGUAGUGACAAUAAAUACUGAUACAGGGCUCUUUUGGGUCUUGUAAUUGGAAUGAGUACAAUUUAAAUCCCUUAACGAGGAACAAUUGGAGGGCAAGUCUGGUGCCAGCAGCCGCGGUAAUUCCAGCUCCAAUAGCGUAUAUUAAAGUUGUUGUGGUUAAAAAGCUCGUAGUUGAACCUUGGGCCUGGCUGGCCGGUCCGCCUCACCGCGUGUACUGGUCCGGCCGGGCCUUUCCCUCUGUGGAACCUCAUGCCCUUCACUGGGUGUGGCGGGGAAACAGGACUUUUACUUUGAAAAAAUUAGAGUGCUCCAGGCAGGCCUAUGCUCGAAUACAUUAGCAUGGAAUAAUGAAAUAGGACGUGUGGUUCUAUUUUGUUGGUUUCUAGGACCGCCGUAAUGAUUAAUAGGGACAGUCGGGGGCAUCAGUAUUCAAUUGUCAGAGGUGAAAUUCUUGGAUUUAUUGAAGACUAACUACUGCGAAAGCAUUUGCCAAGGAUGUUUUCAUUAAUCAGGAACGAAAGUUAGGGGAUCGAAGACGAUCAGAUACCGUCGUAGUCUUAACCAUAAACUAUGCCGACUAGGGAUCGGACGAUGUUAUUUUUUGACGCGUUCGGCACCUUACGAGAAAUCAAAGUGCUUGGGCUCCAGGGGGAG